GAUGAACGCUGGCGGCGUGCCUAAUACAUGCGAGUCGAGCGAACAGACGAGGAGCUUGCUCCUCUGACGUUAGCGGCGGACGGGUGAGUAACACGUGGAUAACCUACCUAUAAGACUGGGAUAAAUUCGGGAAACCGGAGCUAAUACCGGAUAAUAUAUUGAACCGCAUGGUUCAAUAGUGAAAGACGGUUUUGCUGUCACUUAUAGAUGGAUCCGCGCCGCAUUAGCUAGUUGGUAAGGUAACGGCUUACCAAGGCAACGAUGCGUAGCCGACCUGAGAGGGUGAUCGGCCACACUGGAACUGAGACACGGUCCAGACUCCUACGGGAGGCAGCAGUAGGGAAUCUUCCGCAAUGGGCGAAAGCUUGACGGAGCAACGCCGCGUGAGUGAUGAAGGUCUUCGGAUCGUAAAACUCUGUUAUUAGGGAAGAACAAAUGUGUAAGUAACUAUGCACGUCUUGACGGUACCUAAUCAGAAAGCCACGGCUAACUACGUG
rnacentral:rRNA from 1 species